ensembl:misc_RNA Gm27477 predicted gene, 27477
GUCCUAGAACUGGAAGUUUUUGUAGGCACUUUUCCUCUCCACACUCAAAAGCUUGGGCUAGGGCCAACUCAGGCUGCCCAAGCCCAUUUCUAUUACUAAUGUAACUCUAUGGCCUGAGUCUCAACACUGAAAACCAAAUUCAU